GCAGGGCAAGGAUAACGGGUAACACCCGCCGGGGGCGACCCUAGGACAAGUGCAACAGAGAUAUACCGCCUCUCCCGUCUUUAGAUGGGUGUGGGCAGCGGGGCUUCCCCGCUCCUGCGUCGAGGUAAGGGUGGAAAGGCGAGGUAAGAGCUCACCCGAUGGCGUGUGAAAGCGCCCAUCGAUGUAAACUCUAUCCGGAGCAACGCCGUGGAGGGACAUACAGGCCGGCCCGGCCGUCCCGGGGAGGCGGCUAGAGCGCGUCAGCGAUGGCGCGUCGAGAUAGAUGGCUGUCUUAAAAGACAGGACCCGGCUUACAGGCUCACUGCACCA
rnacentral:RNase_P_RNA from 1 species